rnacentral:rRNA from 1 species
AGCUCAAAUUUGAAAUCUGGCUGGUUUACUAGUCCGAGUUGUAAUUUGUAGAGGAUGUUUUGGGUACCGCACUGGUUUAAAUUUCUUGGAACAGAAUGUCAGAGAGGGUGAGAAUCCCGUCUUGGACCGGCGUAGGGCCCGUGUAAAACUCCUUCGAC